rnacentral:rRNA from 1 species
UGGGGAAUAUUGCACAAUGGGCGCAAGCCUGAUGCAGCCAUGCCGCGUGUGUGAAGAAGGCCUUCGGGUUGUAAAGCACUUUCAGCGAGGAGGAAGGUGGUGAGCUUAAUACGCUCAUCAAUUGACGUUACUCGCAGAAGAAGCACCGGCUAACUCCGUGCCAGCAGCCGCGGUAAUACGGAGGGUGCAAGCGUUAAUCGGAAUUACUGGGCGUAAAGCGCACGCAGGCGGUUCGUUAAGUCAGAUGUGAAAUCCCCGGGCUCAACCUGGGAACUGCAUUUGAAACUGGCAAGCUAGAGUCUCGUAGAGGGGGGUAGAAUUCCAGGUGUAGCGGUGAAAUGCGUAGAGAUCUGGAGGAAUACCGGUGGCGAAGGCGGCCCCCUGGACGAAGACUGACGCUCAGGUGCGAAAGCGUGGGGAGCAAAACAGGAUUAGAUACCCUGGUAGUCCAGCGCUGUAAACGAUGUCGAUUUUGGAGGUUGUGCCCUUGAGGCGUGGCUUCCGGAGCUAACGCGUUAAAUCGACCGCCUGGGGAGUAC